GACGAACGCUGGCGGCGUGCCUAACACAUGCAAGUGGAGCGACGAACCAGGCUUCGGCCUGGGGCAAAGCCGCGAACGGGUGAGUAACACGUGGGUAACCUGCCCUGAUGAUUGGGACAACCCGAGGAAACUCGGGCUAAUACCGAAUGUGCCCUCCGGCCUCAAGGCCGCUGGGGAAAGGAAGCUUCGGCCUCCGCAUCGGGAUGGGCCCGCGGCCCAUUAGCUUGUUGGUGAGGUAACGGCNCACCAAGGCGACGAUGGGUAGCUGGUCUGAGAGGACGAUCAGCCACACUGGGACUGAGACACGGCCCAGACUCCUACGGGAGGCAGCAGUGGGGAAUCUUGCGCAAUGCGCGAAAGCGUGACGCAGCAACGCCGCGU
rnacentral:rRNA from 1 species